AUGGACUCCGGAAAAAAUGCUGCUAUUUAUGCAGAGUCUCUGAAAGGCCAGUUCACCCUGACUGAAGACGUCCCCCCCAGCAUGCAGUACUUAGAGGCCAAGAGUCUGAAAGCAGAGGACACUGCUGUUUACUACUGUGCACGGAGGCACAGAAUUACAGGUGAAGAGAGAAUGGAUCAGUCCCCUGCUCAAGUGAAGACACCAGGAGGGACAGUUAAGAUCUCCUGUAAAAUAUCUGGAUUUGGCAUGACAAGCUACUACAUGAACUGGAUCAGACAGCAACCAGGAGGGAACCUGGAGUGGAUUGGAGAGAUGAACUCUGGAUCAGGAGCCGUUGAUUAUGCAGAGUCUCUGAAGGGCCAGUUCACCCUGACUGAAGACGUCCCCACCAGCAUGCAGUACUUAGAGGCCAAGAGUCUGAAAGCAGAGGACACUGCUGUUUACUACUGUGCACGGAGGCACAGUGACUGA